CGUGCUUACACAUGCAAGUCGAGUGCGCGUCCGUAGCAAUACGGAUGGCGCACGGCGCACGGGUGCGUAACACGUGGGUAAUCUGCCCUCUGAUGGGGAAUAACCCGCCGAAAGGCGGGCUAAUACCGCAUAACAUUCCUUGGACUCCGGUUCGAGGAUUCAAAGGCGUAAGUCGCCGGAGGUGGAGCCCGCGCACGAUUAGCUAGUUGGUAGGGUAAUGGCCUACCAAGGCUGUGAUCGUUAGCUGGUCUGAGAGGAUGGCCAGCCACACUGGAACUGAGACACGGUCCAGACUCCUACGGGAGGCAGCAGUGGGGAAUCUUGCACAAUGGGCGAAAGCCUGAUGCAGCGACGCCGCGUGGGGGAUGAAGCUUCUCGGAGUGUAAACCCCUUUCGACCGGGACGAAUACCUCGCAAGAGGGGUGACGGUACCGGUAUAAGAAGCCCCGGCUAACUACGUGCCAGCAGCCGCGGUAAGACGUAGGGGGCCAGCGUUGCUCGGAAUUACUGGGUGUAAAGGGUUCGUACGCGGUGUGGCAAGUCGGGAGUGAAAU
rnacentral:rRNA from 1 species